AUUGUUCUGUCUUGUUUUGUCGUAGGAGGAUUUCCUUCUCAAAUUGCUCAUGAGCUAAUAAUGAGGAGUCACAGAAGAAAAACCCCGAUCCACAAGUCUGAUAAUUUAUAAAAAUAAUAAUUUAUUAAUUUUUGAGGAACAGAUAAAGCCUUUUUUAUUCUGUACGGCUGUAUACUUGCAGUACACCACAUUUUGUUCAAGAGAAUCAUUUAUGAACUCCCAGAGAACCUCUUCUUAAGAACAAGAAAGUGCUUUACAAAAAAGCCCUGUACACUUUUAAACCUUGAUCUAACACCUAGAGGAAAAUUAAUUCCAUAAUUGCAAAGUAUAUCAGUAUGUCUUUGCAUCCAUGGCACUUAUAAAGAAAGAGACUUUCUAAUGAGUAAGAGCGUUUCUAACGAGUAACCUGUUACUACUGCUCUCACGCAUUAGAACUCUGAGAACAGACUCAUGAGAAUCAUGAGAGAUGCCAAGUCAUGGAAAAUCAAAACAAGAAGCUUGCGUCGCACACAGACGUGCCCAGGCACGAACUCUAGGCCAAGUUAAAGAAGUUGAGAAGGGAGUUUAGCAGCUGAGAGGCUGCUUGUGUGCUGCACACCUGUGACAGGAAAUUGCCAUCUGGCUCCUUUAGUCAUCUGCUUAAACUAAAAUGACACAAAAAAAAUACAUUCUCAGACCUUUGUCUUAGGUCUGUCACAGGCAACUGUGUAUCCGUUGCCAAUUAAUGACAUCUAUGAUAAGGUAUUGCAUGAUGUGAAAGUUUAAUAUGUCUAACUGCGUUUGCAGGUCUAUUACAGACUUGUUGGUUAAGAGUUUAAUGGUGGUCAGGACCCUAAUACUUGAGUCUUGCUGAAAUACUAUGGUAUGUGCAUGUAGGAGGUCAUUUGAUCAUUAGAAGAAUUUUUUCUAGCCUUUGAAAUUUGGUCAUUUAUAAGUGAUAGAGCAGAAAUCUGUAGGUUGGCAUGAGACUGGGGAGGCCUCAGCUCAGAUACUUGUCAAUAUUGACUAUGGGCUAUGUAGUCAGUAUGGCACAUCUAGCUGAGGUGUUACUGACUUGUAAUACCACCAUUUUGCUGCUGGAAUGGACCUGGGGCCUUAUUCGACACUCAGGGCUUGUGACUGUUCUUACUUUAGGUUAAGGAUGCCUCUGAAUAUAAAUUCCGUUACUACAAGUCACCAAGGGAGAACUAAUUUGAAUCAAGUUUGAUGCCUUAGCUAAAUUUUGCUGAUGUUUUCCACGCCCAGUGUUCUUGGCAGCUGAACAGCUCACUGCUGGAAGGAAACCGGCUGAAAUGAUGGAACAGCUUUCUUCUGGAAAAGCCACAGUCAGUUGAAGAUGAGAUGAGUGAGAUGGAUCUCCAACGGGCUGGAAGCUCAGCCUGUUUGCUGGGUGAAAUUCAGCCCCCAGAGUGUUAUGGAGCCCAGCAUGUGCACAGGAAGCAGAAAAUAAAGUCAGAGGGAGAGAGAUGGCAGUCCUGUGCUAAAGUGGGGUGCUAGAGCCCACUUUGGCAUGGGGUGCAAUGUGGGGUAUGAGUUGCGUAUAUAGACUAAGGUGGAAGAAGUGAGGUGUAGCACCAUACAGGUGGCUGUGGGAGCUGCAGUGGGUGUGAAGGGACACUGCGUACUGGUUUAGUCUAAGGAAGUGACGUGUAAUUAGACUGGAGGAACCCCUUCCAUGGGAGGUGGUGGCUAUGAUUUGGAUACAGUAAUUACACUUCUGUAAGAUGGAACACAGAAUAUUCAGAAUUAACAUAUUAAUCUUAAGCUGUUGCACAAUGCAAAGAACAUAUAUAACAUGAAAAUAUACUAUGUUUGUUAAUCAAUGCUCAUUUUUUCCGUAAGAUCAUACACAGUAUUGUAAUACAUUUUCUAAGCUCAUUUUUUGUUCAGUGAAAUAAACAAACAAAUCUCUGAUAGUGGAACAAAACCUUAAGUGCUAAACAUUUUGUGAGUUAAUCAGAACAAAGCUAUGACACUGCAUUUCCUCUCCUGGCUGUAGCAGCUGAAAGAAGCUUGCUGAUUAUCAGAUAAGAUUAAUUAUUGCAACCAUACACACAUAUAUCAUAAUAUGCUCCAAGAUAAUUUUACAUCUAUCUAUACAUACAGGUGAUCCACUACAACUAGCAGGAAUGAGUUAACAAAUUGACUACUAAAUUUAAGUACAAAUGCCUGUUCUUGAAUGUUUUUGUUACAUAAUUUUGUUACAGGACCAAAAAAAAACUGUCUGAUUAUUUACGGUUUUGUUUGAAUAAUACAUGGACUAAUAUAUAUGUAUAACAUGAAUAUUAUUAAGAAUUAAGCAUAAACAUUAAUUUCCCUGCAUUUGUUUCCAGAUUUGAAAAUACAGUAUUUCAUGUAAGGUA